AAUUCAAACGAGAAUCUAAUUUAACGAUCACAAGUUUUUCCCAUUUUUCGAUCAUUUGGCGUUCGUCAGUUUCAAGGUGGCGAAGAGACAAGCAAUGGCGGAUUGGCAGCCAAUUCAUCGGCGGUGGAGAAAAAUCAGACCGGUAAAUUGAUAAUCGCUCGAGCGGCCAAGAAACGACUGAUACUUUCUAAUAUCUCGAAUCAUACAACUCUCCCUGCUCGUAACUCGAUUUCUCAUUCCUUCAAACUUGAAACUCAGGAAGCUGAGAUCAAAAUGAUAAGGAAGAGCUUAAAAUUUAAAGCAACACCUAUGCCAAGCUUUUAUCAGUAACCUGCACCUCCAAAGAUGGAGUUGAGAAAGUAGUUUUUUGCUAUGUUGUAUGUUAUAAUGCCGAAAAAUACAAUCUUGUAUGGUAUGAAAUGCCUUUUGUUGUUCUUAGGCAUAGUAUGUUGAAUGUUUAGUGGUUCUUUACCAAAAUUGAUAUGAUUUGCUUUAUCCUGAAAAAACUUAAUAUAUUUGGUGUUAGGUAA